rnacentral:rRNA from 1 species
GACGAACGCUGGCGGCGUGCCUAAUACAUGCAAGUCGAACGCAGUGGGGACGGGUGAGUAACACGUGGGUAACCUCCCAUCAGAGGGGAUAACACUUGGAAACAGGUGCUAAACCGAUACUGAUGGAUGGACCCGCGGUGCAUUAGCUAGUUGGUGAGGUAACGGCUCACCAAGGCCACGAUGCAUAGCCGACCUAGAGGGUUGACCGGCCCCACUGGGACUGAGACACGGCCCGGACUCCUACGGGAGGCAGCAGGAGGUAAUCUUCGGCAAUGGACGAAAGUCGGACCGGGCAACGCCGCGUGAGGGAAGAAGGUUUUCGGUUCGUAAAACUCUGUUGUUAGAGAAGCGGUAUCUAACCAGAAAGCCACGGCUAACUACGUGCCAGCCGCCGCGGUAAUUC